rnacentral:rRNA from 1 species
GCGUCGGCAGUCGGGUGUGGUAGGUAAGUUUUUUCGGCCAGGGAUGUGCUCGCGGCCUAUCAGCUUGUUGGUGGGGUAAUGGCCUACCAAGGCUUCGACGGGUAGCCGGCCUGAGAGGGUGACCGGCCACACUGGGACUGAGACACGGCCCAGACUCCUACGGGAGGCAGCAGUGGGGAAUAUUGGACAAUGGGCGGAAGCCUGAUCCAGCAACGCCGCGUGAGGGAUGACGGCCUUCGGGUUGUGAACCUCUUUCAGUACCGACGAAGCGCCGAUGAUGGUGGUGACGGUAGGUACAGAAGAAGCACCGGCCAACUACGUG